UACGUAGGGUGCGAGCGUUAAUCGGAAUUAUUGGGCGUAAAGAGCGUGUAGGCGGUCCGGUAAGUCAGCUGUGAAAGUCAAGGGCUCAACCCUUGAAAGCCGGUUGAUACUGUCGGGCUAGAGUCCGGAAGAGGCGAGUGGAAAUUCCCGGUGUAGCGGUGAAAUGCGCAGAUAUCGGAGGAACACCAAUGGCGAAGGCAGCUCGCUGGGACGGUACUGACGCUGAGACGCGAAAGCGUGGGGAGCA
rnacentral:rRNA from 1 species